GUUUCUUUCCUUCCCAAAAUAAGCUGUUAGAGGACAAAUGGAGCUGAGCAGUGAGGAGCUGUUGGUUUUGUUUUCCACUGGGUUUCAAGUUCUGCAAACAAAGCUAGAGCUGAAAAGGAAAGGAUACUUUGCUUCACAGAAGAAAUCAGUGCAGCAGUUGAACAUCGGUAUGAACUUCCAAGCUAUUAGAAGGGCUGACCCAGGUCAGAUGAGCAGAACAUGAGGGCAGUGAUGAUCUGCUGGACUGAAUUUGAGGAUUCUGUGGGACAAGAGUAGAAGACACGGGAAGGUUUUUGCAUCAUGUUUUGGUUAAAACUUCCAUUCCCAUCGGAGGAAGGCGCUGGCUGACUCCACUUCCCGCCCCAGGGGGAUGAGCCUGCGGUGAUGGGCGCGAUGCCCAAGGAGCAGGAUCGGGAUCGGGCUCCCAUCCUCGCCCAUCCCCGCAGUGCGGCGGAGCCCGGGCUGCCUCGGGACCCUUGGGUCACAUCCAGGGUGAGAGAAGCCGGGCUAGGGCACCUCGGUGCCCUGCGCCAUCCGCACCCGGGAGCGCAGCCACCCCCUUCUCUUUCUGGAAAUCGCGGAGGGUUUCUGGCCGCUGUUCGAAACAAAACAAGAGAACGGCGCUGCUCCUAGCAGUGUGAAUGUCGCCUGGCGCUGCCAGGCUGUGUGUCCCGGGGGAUGGAUGGAGGGUCCCCGGGCCGUGCCCCAUCCCCUCUGCCCCCAGCCGGGCUCC